rnacentral:rRNA from 1 species
CUACGGGAGGCUGCAGUGAGGAAUAUUGCACAAUGGGGGGAACCCUGAUGCAGCAACGCCGCGUGGAGGAUGACGCAUUUCGGUGUGUAAACUCCUUUUAUAUGUCAAGAAAAUGACGGUAGCAUAUGAAUAAGCACCGGCUAACCCCGUGCCAGCAGCCGCGGUAAUACGGAGGGUGCAAGCGUUACUCGGAAUCACUGGGCGUAAAGGACGCGUAGGCGGGUUGGAAAGUCAGGUGUGAAAUCCUACAGCUUAACUGUAGAACUGCACUUGAAACUUCUAAUCUAGAGUAUGGGAGGGGGAGAUGGAAUUAGUGGUGUAGGGGUAAAAUCCGUAGAUAUCACUAGGAAUACCUAAAGCGAAGGCGAUCUCCUGGAACAUUACUGACGCUAAGGCGUGAAAGCGUGGGGAGCAAACAGGAUUAGAUACCCAUGUAGUC